CGACCGAGUGGACACCUGAUCCCAGGUAGAAACCUUACCUGUGCAGCUGACGGACCGCUAACUUCCGCGACAACAAGUGGUGUCCAUGGCAACCCGGCUAGAACAACUGGCUGUUCACAAAGCCAGCCUUCUCAGAUCUCCCGACCGGCGUUCUGUCUACUGGCUCGACGAGUUGGCACCAGUGAGGACUGCCACGACAACAUUUAGGCUGACAGCUCGUGGGGCUCAGCUAUGCAGAGGCAAACCGCUGUGGUCAACUCCGCACCCACUCAGGUCUCCCGUCUGGCGGGUGAGUGAAGGCGCCCUGAGGGCCUGUGCCUCCCAGCGUGUGUGUGCGCUGGCCCUGCCGCGCCCCCCUGCUGUGGGCUGGCUCCCGGACCGCCCGCCGCCCCCCCCUGUGAGGUUUAGGGGAGGGGGCCCAGUACGUCGUGCCCAUUCUUUGCCCCGCGGGGGUGCUACGUCUCGUAUCCUCCAGCUGUCCCAGCCAAGGCUGAGGCCGCGGGCGGGGGCCACGGCCGCGGGCCCCAGGCUGAGGCCGCGGGUGGAGGCCACGGACGGAGGCCCCAGGCUGAGGCCGCGGGUGGAGGCGGGUCAGGGGUUCAGGACCCCACCCAUCGCCCGCAAGACGCCCGCGGCCACGCCCCGCGUGGAGCAACUCGCUACCCCAAAGCGUACCCCCCCCGGGUACAUGUGUGGGCGUCCUUCCAGCUGGCCGGUGCCCGGGUCUGUGCGCCGUGCGGUGCCCAGCCUGAGGGUGCGAGAGCUGGCCAGCCCGAGGCAGAGAGAGGCUCUCUUCCAGGGCUACGACCCCUACGCCAUCAGCGCCGGCGCUCUGCUAGCUAAACCAUCGCCACGGCUACAAGAGCUGGCUCUCCCCCUGCCCAGGAAGUGCAGGAGCGAAUGAGAGGGGGGCUGUUAGCCGGUCUGGCCGUCACUGCUUAGCUUGGUUUUCUCCAUCAUUUCAGCACCAUGAUGCUUCACCUGUUUUCAUACUUGUCUCAAAGUCAGAGAUCUGUUUGGUUCUGGAAACAGCUGGAAAACCCUGGAAUGCUACACGACACAACUUAUUACACCGUGCUUCCCGGUCCACACAAUCCCCCUCCCCGCCCCCUCUCCGUUCCUGCUCCAAUUGCCCCAGUGUGCUCUGUCCUGCGACGACCACCACGCUCCUGCCGCCCCCUCCUGGGCCUCUGAGUCUUCUCUGCCACCAGGGGGAGCCAGAGAGCUCAAGGGCCGACCUUCGUCACAGCCUCACCCGUGUCCAGCAGAGGGCGCGGCGGAGUUGAGCAUGGUGCCUCUUGCCAGAUGCCGAACCCGUCCGCCGGCAGCUUGCUGCUCUUCUACAGUUCUAACCCUUCCUAAGCCUCACCCCCUCACCCCGAACCCUCUCCCUGAACUCUCCCGGCCCGGCGGCCUUCGACCUGUUGCUCUCUCGUUUCUCUCAGGACGCGACUGAGGCCCUCCGUAUAAUAUGUUCGUUGUUUCCGCCAAUAAACAGGCCUAUAGCAGUCCUCUCUGUGUGCGCUUUAUCCUACAGAAGUGUUAUUUGAAUCCAGUAUUUGUGUUAUGUGUGUGACUUUGCUGUAUUAUGAGCUUUGUUUUGUUCAAGCAUGCUUGGGAACGUUGUCGUACGAAAAAUGGCUUCAUCAGGAAAGUACUUAAUUACUU
ensembl:lncRNA